UUCCUGAAAAACAAACAACAACAACAAAAACAGAAACAAACAGUCUAACAGUUGUGAAUUCUUCAAAACAUGUUUUCUUGUUACACAUUCAUUUCUCUUAUAUUACACAACAGAAGCUGGAAUUUUUCUGUUUCCAAGGAACUGAACAACAGCCAAGGAAUCAUCAAUUUCCAGGGAAGUGGUUUGUGAGGACUCGCAUUGUAAUUGCAGCAUUUUGCGCCACUAAGGUUCAAGUGCAGCGCAGUGGGGUACCUAGGGAGGCAUCAGCGAAAUUGCCGUGGGAGAAAAUAACAGCAGCGAUAUCUGUCCCCAGUCUCAGAAAUUAAGAGCAGAUGCUGGCAUCCAUUACAGCUACUGACGGUUUCCAGGGAGCAUGAUGGUGAUUCAGUGGGGAACAUGAUCAAACACCCACAGCACAUAGUAGAGAGAAACUCCCAGAAGACUCACUUGUGAGAUGCUGGUAUUUUCAAAUACCACAGACCCAAUGUCAUGCAG